rnacentral:misc_RNA from 1 species
UUACACUUCAAUUUCCCGGUCCAUAGGCAGCAGGGUUAAGGCGUCAGUUUCAUCACAGCCGCGGAAAACCAGAAGGAAAAAACAGCAACAACAUCAGCUCAAGACGGUCGACGAUGACGGUUCUAUGGCCUCUGGAACGGAAAAAGUGUUAAGGCUUGUUUUCAUGGAGGAAUUGAUGGAACGAGCUCGAAAUGCUGAUUCUGCAGGUGUAUCUCAAGUCAUUUAUGAUAUGAUUGCUGCGGGUCUCUCCCCUGGACCUCGUUCUUUCCAUGGAUUGGUUGUUGCUCAUGUACUUCAUCGUGACAAUGAUGG